CGCCUUCGGUGCCCGCCCUUCGGGCGCCUGUGACCGCGCUCCGGUGCGCCCGCACGUGGCGUUGGGUCCCAGCGAUGGCAGCAGGCGCCAGGCGACCAUGACGGAGCCCCUGCAGCUGGAGCCAGAGAGGAGGAAAGUGAAUGUAAACAACUGAAGAAUUCGCAAGAGAUGAGAGGGAAGACGGAGGGUGAGGAAGAAUUGCAGAAGUUAGUGAUGCUCUCAAAGUCAGAGGUGAUGGUUUCCGUGAUCUCUCCAUUCAGUCCAUCUGUAUGGCCCUUUCAAAACACAGGUAAACUAUGGUCAUUAAUAGUGGAUUAUUAUAAACCUAAAUAGUGAUACCACAUUUGAAACAGUUUUGCUGGAUGUGUUUCUAGAAAAGAAGAACAUAAAUUCUAGUAUUUGGAUGCCACUAUUGUGCAAGAUGCAUUCUUUUCAGUAUCCAUCAAUAAAGAGUAUCAAAGUAACACCUUUUAUUAAGGGAAGAGAAUCACUAUUCAUUCACAGUUUUGUAUCAGGGCUACUGUAACUCUCUUGCUCCUAGGACAUUAUACUUUUUUUUUGAUGCCUUGGGCAUCUUUUAUAAUUUGGAGCAUCACAAUAGUUUGCCAUAUUGAUUUUAUUAUGCUUUGUAGUUAGUGUUCAACAAGUAUUCUAGAUACCCUCAUAAGUUUUACGCAUCCUAGAAAUGGUAAGUUGACUCCUGGAAAGUUAUACAGACCUACCACUUCAAUGAGGAUUUGCUCUCUGAAAUAAAGGACAAGUUAUUAUCCCUCAUACACCUACCACUAAGGUAGAGUCACAGGACUAAGUGGGUCUUUCACACUUGGAACUGUUGUAUUGCAGUGCCAUCUGAUUUACUUGCUGGGGCCAUGUGAGUCUUAAAUUCAGUGGUGUCGGAAGUAUCCAGGUUAGCUAAACUUGUUGCAUGUAUCUCAGGGUCGGGUCAUCUGUAGCAGAUCGGUAGAUCUGUAGCAACAUGUUCUUUGAAAACCAGAUCUUUAUUUGCUACAGAGCCCAGUAGAAAUUGAAUGCCUCCAUGAAGAACAUGUGUUGACUGUGCAACCAGAGCAUGUCUCUGCAGUGUGGUCAAGCAUUUGAAAUAUAAUUUAGUGUAUAUUUGAAGUGGUGCAUUUAGAUUUGGGCCUCAGCCCAAAUGUCCAGAAGAAACGGUACUUUACAUGAAGAAGUAUAGUUUUACUUACUCCCUGGAAGAAUUGCUUCCCCCUUAGCCCUUACAUAUGGCUUCAUGGAAGUUUCCCUAAGUUGAGGAAACUAACCUCAUGUGUUGAUGCAAAUCAAACUGAACGUCUGCUUUACUGUAUCCUGACUGAAAGAUGGCCCUAAAGACGUUGGUUAGAAGAAAUUUCUCCAGUGUGGAUAGCUGUGAACAACAUGUAGGUAAAUGUGGUCUGCUUUUAUAAACACAGACACUUGAGCGGUCACAAAUGGCUGGGCUGGUUGGCCAGGGGUCUGGAAAGAGCAAGACUGGGAUGCAAAGGAGAAAUAAUUAGACCUUUACAGAAGAGGCACCUAGAGAGAUCAUCGGUGUAGGCGAAAAGCAUGAGAAUCUGGGUCUUACAUUAUUAACUACCUAAGCAAUCAAACCUAGAGGAAGCCCUUAACAACAAGAGAUUAUAAGAGGACUUUUAUUUUCAUUUAUUUAUUUAUUUAUUUAUUUAUUUAUUUAUUUAUUUAUUUUUAGGACAGGGAGCACCUGAGUGGGGGAGAGGGGCAAAGGAAGAGAGAGAGAGAAUCUUAAGCAGGCU